AGAAGUUAGAGCACCUAGCCCAGAGCUAGACUUAAUUUUUAAUUCUAAUGAACCUAUGAGCAGUGGAUUUACUCAUAAGCUGAGCAAUAAAUGUUCAAAUACAGGUAAUUUAAAAAGGAAACAUUCAAAUAUAGGCGAUGGUGGAGUUUCUUUUAAGGAAAUGUCAAACAAGCAAUUUCAAUAUGCAAUUUUCAUGGAACUAACAAGUCAAUUUAAUCAAAUUAAGG
rnacentral:lncRNA from 1 species